CUGUAUCCCCGGAACAAGCGUCGGCUAACUACGUGACAGCAGCCUCGGUAAGACGUAUGACGCAUGCGUUAUCCGGAUUUACUGAGCGUAAAGCGUCUGUAGGCGGAUGAGUAAGUUGGGCGUGAAAGCUCCGGGCUCGACCCGGAGAGGCCGCUCACUACUGCUGAUCUAUAGGAGGCCAGAGGGGAGUGGAAUUCCUGUAGUAGCGGUAAACUGCGCAGAUAUCAGGAAGAACACCAGUGGCUAAGGCUGAUCCCUAGGGCCCACCUGACGCUGAGAGACGAACAUCCCGGGAGCGAACAGGAUUAGAGACCCUGGUAGUCUUAGCCGUGAACGAUGGAUGCUAGAUCUAGGACCGUAGAGACUCUAUGCCGGAGCGAACGCGAUAAGCAUCCCGCCUGGGGAGUACGACCGCAAGGCUAAAACUCAAACGAAUUCACGGGGACCCGCACAAGCAGCGGAGCUUGUGGCUUAAUGCGAUGCUACACGAAGAACCUAACCUGGCUUUAACAUGGGCAUGGUAGUGAAGCGAAACCGGAGCGACCAUUCGGGGAGCGUACACAGGUCCUGCAUGCCUGUCGUCAGAUCGUGCCGUGAGUUGUCGGAUUAAGUCCAGUAACGAGCGCAACCCUUGCCAUUAGUUACAACUGUCUAAGGAGACUGCCGGCGGCAAACCGGAGGAAGCUGGGGAUGACGUCAAGUCAGCAUGGCCCUUAUAUCCAGGGCUACACACACGCUACAAUGGCCGGUACAGAGGGCAGCGAACCCGCGAGGUGGAGCGAAUCCCAGCAAGCCGGUCGUAGUUCGGAUUGCAGGCUGCAACCCGCCUGCAUGAAGCUGGAGUUGCUAGUAACCGCGCGUCA
rnacentral:rRNA from 1 species